CUGCGCAUUUGUCUUGUUGGUUGGGCGGAGAGGUGGCCACGCGGGGCUGGACUAGCAGGCCGGUUUCUGUUCGGAUGGCUUGAGCACUGGGCAGGCGUGACGAGGGAAAGUGUGGGCAAUGUAUCUGGUUGUUGUAGACCUACAAGUGAUUGGUGGAGGGUAGUGAACAUGGCCCUUAUCGUUUCUCACUAAACUCUCGGAGGUUACAACGUUGAAAUAAAUGACAUUACAACGAAACCACGAGUUUACUGUGAACCAUUUCAACGUUGUUCCAUGAAGGGUGAGGACGAGUAGAUUGAGGCGCUGAAGAGGAAAAGGGCAGUGGCCAAGGGCAAGUUCACCAGGAAGGGCAACCUCUUCACCACAGCACACGGUGAUGAGGCACCCGUCGUAGUACAACAGGGGCUCGUGUCCUUCCCCUGAGAAUUACUGUCAUCUCCCUAGGAAGGCACUGGUUAAGAACCAGUGGAUUAAAUGGUCUAAAAUUCAUCGAAACUUCUGUCUAAAUCCAUGAAGCCAGUUUUGCGAGUUGACUGCCUCACGAAUAAUGACUAAAUCUCAUUUGUGAGAAGAUUUAAGAAAAUGAUGUUUUUAGAAGAAUUUCAUUACGUUUUCAGUUAUUUUCCUUGAGUUUCUGUUUUAGAAGGUCUGAAUUUAUGAAUUUCUUUAUCAUAAGGUCUGCAUAUUCUAUUUUGUAAUUUUGAUGUACUGGUGCUUUAACAUUAUGCUUAAGUUCUAUGUAAACAUUAUAAACAGAUUCACCUAAGUCAGUUUGCUUACAUUUUCUUUCGACAAAGUUUUUUCCACGUGAAAAAAAAAAGGGAUAUGAAAGUUUUUGUCCUUCUGUUAUGGAAUUAUACUCACAUAAACUGAAUUAUUAAAAAAUACAAAAAGUUUUUUUUUUUUAUUUCCUGAACAGAUGAUAAAAUAAAUUAGGUAGUUUGUGAAGGUGACAAUAUGAUACAAUUACAUGUUACUCCAUGUGAGUAUGGAAAUUUGAAGCCCUUUGAAUGUUACCACUAACAACCUUGUUACAGUGUUGUGCUUGCAUUUCAGUUUCACUUGAGUAGUAGGAUCUGCCUUGGAGCUGCCAUGGAAAUGGUCCAAUAUUGGUUUCCCCGUGAUGAUCUAGAGAUGUACUUGUUGAGGAGGAGUGGAGUGGAUUGGAGUGAUGAGUCUUUCAGCUGUCUGCUUAAAUAAGCCAACAGUGUGUGCAUGUACUAACGUGUUGUUUGCCUUACAUAGCCAGCAGGAUAUGCAUGUACAAACGUGUUGGGUGAUACAGUACUACAACACACACACACACACACACACACACAUAUCACUGUCAUGGCGGACAGAGAAGUCAACGCAAAACAGGCGCUCUUAAAAAUUCAACCAUCUACAUCGCUGAGAGCUGCCCUAGUGGAAAUACAGAGGUGAGAGUUCACACUGGUUUUGCUCGUUGCCGUCCCAUCUCCAAAGUGUUUUGUAGAAAGCAGUUAAAUUGUUAUAAUGAGCAAUGAAGAGGGGGCUACUUCAGUCCCCACUAUGUUGUUUACACCAACAGGGACUGUCCCGAAGGAGAGACAGACUUCUUGGGAUUUGGGGAAGAGGACUGAAGUGUCGGGGAAGCAAUGAUGAGAAGGAGAAUUAAUACACUGGAAACUGAAAUGAAGGAUAGAUUUGACAAGAUGGAGAAGAUGGUUGAAACUUUGAACUCCGAGAAGGGGGUGUGGAAAGUUGCAUACGAUGAUCUACAUAAAAAAAAAAAAAAAAAAACUAAUGUUAUAUGAAAAGAAAGCAAUGGAAUGUGAAGGCAAAAUGGAAGAAUUAAAUGAAAAACAGGAAAAUUGGAAGAAAGAACAAGAGGAAGAAAAGAUCGAUUUUAGGAAAAUUGUGGAGGAACAAACCAAGGCAAACGAAAUAAAGCUAACAGAAAAAGUUGUUCAAGUUAUAAAACAAAGAAAACUUGGUGAGAGACACUGUGGAUAAGAAAAAAAAACUGUUGUGGUAUUUGGCCUGAAGGAAGAGUGUACACCUCAGUGGACUGAAAGAGAAAAGAAGGAAAAUAGAUGUGUGGAAAAAUUAGUGGAGACAUUACGAGGAGAAAAAUCUCAAUUUCGAAGAAAUUAAGAUUUGGUAGAUAUGUUGAGGGUGGACAGCGUCCUAUAAAAAUAAGGUUUAGGUCACAAGUGGCAGCUGAAGAAACACUAAGUAAAUCUUGGAAACUGGCCAAGGUGAAAGAAUAUAAACAAGUGUGGAUAAAAAGAUAGAACCAGAGAAGAGAGAGAUACUAUAAAUGAACUAAGAAAAGAAGCAAAUCAAAAAAAAAUGGAAAACUAUUAGAGGUGCAGAAAAGAAACUUCUUUUGGAGGGUCAUGGACAUGAGGUUGAGAAAGUGGUACAGGAGGGAAGUAAAUGUGGAAGGGUCAGACUAAAAGCAGCAUACAUGAACAUAAAUGGACUAAUGUCGGCAGUGUUGGAACUAGAAGACUAUUUAAAAUAGGAGAAACUGGACAUCAUGGAAAUCGUUGAAACUAAAUUGGCAAGUUAAGGGGAUAUAUUAAAUAUCGAUGAAGGAAAAUACAACCUCUGGAUGAGAAAUAGAAAGAAUAAACGGGGAGGAGGAGAAGUAUUGAAAAUAAGCUUAAGACAGUAUAUGGGAAGAUAGCGUAAUGUGGUGGUGACUUAUGUUUCCCCAUAUUCCAACUCUUGGAGAGAAGAUGAAUAUAAGAAAAUGCUUGAGGAUACAAAGACAUGAUUGGCAGAGCUGCUUGAGGAAAAUGACGAUAUACUCCUGAUAGGAGACUUUAACUUUAAAGAGAUAUCUUGGGAGAAUUGGACCACAGAAGGCAGUGAGUCAUCAUGUCAUCAUGGGGGAACAAGCUACUAGACCUGGCUAUUGAAAAUUUCCUGACACAAGGGGUUACAGAUGACACAAGAUUUAGGGGAAAUGAAGCACCUUCAAGGCUUGAUCUAAUUUUCACUAAGGAACAAGAAAUAGUAGAAGACCUUAAAUACAUAAACCCAAUAGGAAAAAGUGAUCAUGUGCUGAUUCAGUUCACAGUUAUGGAUAAUAACCUCAGUAUAAGGAAAGAGGACCACAGAAGAGAAUGGCUAAACUACAGCAAGAUUAACUUUGGACAACUUAGGAAGUAUUUCAGUGAAGUGAAAUGAAACACAGUUAUUCAAAAGAGGAAAAGUGGACAGCUUUCCUGGACAUUUAUAAUAAGGGAGUAGAGAAAUGGUACCCAAAAGACCAAUAGAGAACCUUUUUCAAAAAGGAUUGGUACAGCAGAUGUGCAACAGCUAGAUUGGAGAGAGAAAAAGUGUGGAACAAGUGGAAGAAGAACAAGAGACUGGACCUGUGGAACAAUUUUAUAAGGAAGAGGAACAAAUGUCAAAACUCAAAGAAAUGAGCAGAAAAAUUUUGAAAAGAAUAUUGUGGAGAAAUGUAAAGAUCAACCAAAAUUAUUUUAUAAAUUCAUCAAUAGAAAAUUAAAGAGUAAAGAUAAAAUAAGCAUGGUAAAAGCUGGAGAAGAGACAGUGGAUGAUCCAAAAGAGGUAGCUGAAGUGUUUAACACUCUGUGUUUACUAAGGAAAAUGAUUUCAGAGGUGAAAGGACAGCGUUAGAAAAAGGGAGUGAACUGAAGGAGAUUAAAACAUCAGUAGAAGUAAAGAAUAUGUUGGAAGACCUGGAUGUAAGGAAAGCAAUGGGUCCUGAUGGUGUAUCGAGUUGGAUUUUAAAAGAAUGUAGCUCACAAUUAGUCUCAGCACUGCACAAUAUAAUUAUCACUACCCUGGUGAAAAGUAGAGUACCCAUAGAUUGGAAACGGGCGGAUAUUACCCCAAUUCACAAGACCGGAAGUAAAGAAGAUCCAUUAACUUAUAGACCUGUAUCACUCACAGGUGUGGUGGCGAAGAUUUGUGAAAAGGUUAUCAAGAACAGGUGGGUGAAAUGCCUAGAAGACAACAAGGUGAUAAUAGAGAAACAGUUUGGCUUCAGAAAAGGAAGAUCUUGUGUUAUGAAUUUGAUAGUUUCUACUCAAGAGUAAUAGAUAUAGUGCAAGAGAGAGAUGGAUGGGCUGACUGCAUAUGCUUAGAUCUGAGAAAAGUAUUUGAUAAAGUUCCGCACAGAAGACUAAUAUGGAAAAUGGAAAAAAUUGGAGGAUUUGGUGGAUCACUGACUUUUUUUUACAAACAGAAAUGAGGACAGUAAUUAAAGGCAGCAGAUCAAACUGGAGAACAGUAAUAAAGUGGUGUCCCGCAAGGUUCAAUACUUGCACCUAUCAUGUUCACAGUUUAUGUAAAUGACAUGACAGGUGUAGAAAGAUACAUGAACCUUUUCGCUGAUGACGCUAAGAUUGUGAGGAAAGUAACAAAUGAAGAGGACUGCAAUGCUUUAAAUCAGGACUUAAUUAAGAUUAAUGAAUGGUCAUUGAGGUGGAACAUGGAGUUUAAUGCUAAAAAAUGUAGUGUGAUGAGGUUUGGAAAAAGUGUGAGAAGACCAGUUGGCAACUAUUACUUAUGGAAUGAGGAAAUCUCUAUAAGGUAAGAAGAAAAAGACCUAGGAGUAAUUAUUGCUGAUAAUUUGUCAUUUGGGAAGCACAUAAACGAAAUUAUAGGGGAAACAUAUAAUUUGCUGAGAACUAUUAAGAUAGCAUUCUCCUAUAUCAAUGAAGAUAUGAUAAGAUAACUGAUAACAACAAUGAUAUAUCCAAGAUUGGAGUAUGCAGUAUUAGUGUGGUCACCAAGUCUGAAAAAGGAUACAAGAAAAUUAGAAAGAAUCCAGAGAGCUGCAACUAAAAUCCCUGCAAGCUUGAAGGAGUAUAGUUAUGAUGAAAAGUUGAAGAGAUUGGUCCUGACUACACCAGAAAAAAGGAGGGAAAGAGGUGAUUUGAUAGCAAUAUACAGAAUAUUGGAAGGAAUGGAAAAGUUGGAUAGAGAAGGCCUCAUGACACCAGAUACAAGAAACACAAGAGGACAUGGAAGGAAAUUGAAAAGGAGUGUUUGCAGAAGAGACAUCAAGAAACAUAGCUUCCCCCACAGAAGUAUAACAGUGUGGAAUGAACUUAAGGAUGAGACUGUGUGUGCAAAGACAAUUCAUAAAUUUAAAGAAAAUCUAGAUAAAAGUUGAUAUGGAGACAGGAUGGCACGAGCCUAGUGUGGCCCUUGUCCUGUAUUUCACAACUAGGUAAACACACACACACACAUGCACACAAUCACUCACACACAAUGAUAGACAGUUCCACGAUUGAUACACACAUGUCAGUGAUUACACAGACAAUAUGUUUCAUAUGUAACCCUUUGGCUGUGCACUCCCACACCAGCCUGGUGGCAAUAAUUUUUACCAGUACUGCAUUUCAAGUCUGCUGAAACAUGUAUAGGCUUUGUGUGCAUUUGACUGAUACUCGUAUAUCAUGGGAGACAAGCAAGUAAAACAUGAGAUGGUGCUAAGCUUUCAAAACAUACUUGGACUUGAAAGUGAAGUGCUUCAUGGAAAUUAGAAAGAAAUAGUCACAAUAAUCUCAUUUUAAUCAUUGAUUAUUAUUAAGAAAAUAUGAUUAUGAUUACAUGAGUUAUCUACUUUUGAUUAUGAUAUGGUUAUGAUUAUGUAAUCAGAGCCAUGGAUUAUGAUUUUUUGAUUAGUAAUCAUAAUCAUACCCAUGUCUUGGUAGGGGGGUCCCCCUUGAUCCAGAGAGUGACAGGCUAUGUCUUGACUACUUCCAACCCAAAGCCGUUUGUUUAUUUAGGCAAAUCUGUCACUGUAAUCCAGUUCUUGAUGGUGGUGCCAGAUAUACAGUAACCCAUUGUUUUUAUGGUGGCACCAAGUAUUCAUUGUUAGUUUAGAUUUGCCAGAUACACAGUAACCCUUUUUUUUUUUUUAUGGUGGCACCAAGUAUUCAUUGUUAGUUUAGAUUUUUUAUGGUUGUAGGUGUGGUGGUAGGGAGAAACCUUCUGUGGCAAUCAUUUUUACUGGAAUAUGCACUGGGGUGUCAAAACCUAUACCUGAUUAUACAGUGUUGCCCAUGUGUAUAAAAUCGCUUAAUGCUGAUAAAAGUUCUUUGUUGGAAUUAAUCAAUUUGCCACACAUUUCAAAACAAGAUGGGAAUAUGCAGACCAUCAGCAAGUGAGAGCCUUAGUCAGUGGCUUACAUAUCCUAUGGUAGCAAAAUUAUUACCAAUAUUAUCACACAGUUUAUGGAACAACAAUAUGGUAAUGAAUAAAUAAAAUGAAUACUAUACACAAAUAUCAGUCAUAUGAAGAUAUUACAGAAUUACAAACCAUAUUUUUCUGGUAAGUGUAUACUCCACUGUUAGUGCUUCAUUAUUGUUUCUACUAUCAUUUUUAAUGAAGGAAUUAGUAGGAUGUAGGACAAAGCAAGUUGGUUAAGAGAAAAGAAUAUGGCAAAGUAGACAAAUGAGUAUAACAAUUUUGUCUGAUUUUACUUAUAAUCCUUUUGAUUUAAAUUAAAAAAAUAACCAUCUAUAGUAUUGUCCUGAAGUAUUUUUGAGAACCAACUCAUUCCCCAUCAGCUGUCAUUAAUAGGCCAACUGAUUCUCUAGCUAUUCUUUGUUUUGUAUACAUGAAAAAUCUCAUCAGAUGUCUCUGCCUGGCUAGCUGCCUUAAUUCCUUAGUUGCCCUUAGCCGUUUGUUAACUGCCUAACUAUUUCAGCUAAUGGAUUUUAUUGAUUAACUCCUUAUAUCCUCUUGUCUUGCAUUCAAUCUCUUAUACAUAUUUAUUUUCAGUCCUAUAUAAUAAUUUUUCUUAUUUUAUUGCUC